UACGAAGGGGGCUAGCGUUGCUCGGAAUCACUGGGCGUAAAGGGUGCGUAGGCGGGUCUUUUAAGUCAGGGGUGAAAUCCUGGAGCUCAACUCCAGAACUGCCUUCGAUACUGGGAGUCUUGAGUUCGGGAGAGGUGAGUGGAAUUCCCAGUGUAGCGGUGAAAUGCGUAGAUAUUGGGAGGAACACCAGUGGCGAAGGCGGCUCACUGGACCGGAACUGACGCUGAGGCGCGAAAGCGUGGGGAGCAAACGGG
rnacentral:rRNA from 1 species